UGGGGAAUAUUGGACAAUGGGGGGAACCCUGAUCCAGCCAUGCCGCGUGUGUGAAGAAGGCCUUAUGGUUGUAAAGCACUUUAAGCGAGGAGGAGGGUACUGGUAUUAAUACUACCAGCUACUGGACGUUACUCGCAGAAUAAGCACCGGCUAACUCUGUGCCAGCAGCCGCGGUAAUACAGAGGGUGCGAGCGUUAAUCGGAUUUACUGGGCGUAAAGCGUGCGUAGGCGGCUAAUUGAGUCGGAUGUGAAAUCCCCGAGCUUAACUUGGGAAUUGCAUUCGAUACUGGUUAGCUAGAGUGUGGGAGAGGAUGGUAGAAUUCCAGGUGUAGCGGUGAAAUGCGUAGAGAUCUGGAGGAAUACCGAUGGCGAAGGCAGCCAUCUGGACUAACACUGACGCUGAGGUACGAAAGCAUGGGGAGCAAACAGG
rnacentral:rRNA from 1 species